rnacentral:rRNA from 1 species
UACGUAGGGUGCGAGCGUUGUCCGGAAUUACUGGGCGUAAAGAGCUCGUAGGUGGUUUGUCGCGUUGUUCGUGAAAACCUGAGGCUUAACCUUGGGCGUGCGGGCGAUACGGGCAGACUGGAGUACUGCAGGGGAGACUGGAAUUCCUGGUGUAGCGGUGGAAUGCGCAGAUAUCAGGAGGAACGCCGGUGGCGAAGGCGGGUCUCUGGGCAGUAACUGACGCUGAGGAGCGAAAGCGUGGGGAGCGAACAGG